rnacentral:rRNA from 1 species
CAGUCGCCGCGGGAAUACGUAGGGUGCAAGCGUUAAUCGGAAUUACUGGGCGUAAAGCGUGCGCAGGCGGUUAUAUAAGACAGAUGUGAAAUCCCCGGGCUCAACCUGGGAACUGCAUUUGUGACUGUAUAGCUAGAGUACGGCAGAGGGGGAUGGAAUUCCGCGUGUAGCAGUGAAAUGCGUAGAUAUGCGGAGGAACACCGAUGGCGAAGGCAAUCCCCUGGGCCUGUACUGACGCUCAUGCACGAAAGCGUGGGGAGCAAACAGGAUUAGAUACCCGUGUAGUUCCUGUCUCUUAUAC